UAAACAAGUGGAGUUAGUAGCAUGACAUCUAAUUUCAUCGUGCAUGUCCAGGCAGCUAUAGAAGAUUAAAACAAACCAGGAUGUUCUUUCAGAGGACUCCCCCUUUUCAAACUGCUGUUUGACAUUCGAUCAGGACUGAAUCAACUCUGCUGGCUUUUUAGAAAAUCCAUAACAGGUUGCAUUGGAGUUUCCAAUGCCAGCCUGUGAUAUGAAGAGCAGCUCAAUCCUCAGUCUUCCACAGAUUUACUGAAGGCAUUUAACUGAAUUGGGGCUCCAUACGGUUCAUAUUCCUUUAGCUGGAGGGUAUACUUUUCUCUCUAAUGUAUUGAUAUUUGGUUACUCACUGGAUAGGGAUGUAUUGUGCAUUAAUGUAUAGAGAUUAUGAAAAUCGGCAACUGCUGAAAUAGAUCUUCAUGUGGUUUGAUAUUCUACAGAUGUGAAUGGAUAAUCUCCCUGGCACCACUAUGAUGGGUUAGGGCAGAAGAGUGAGUUUCCAUACAGUCGCAGGGGACAGAGAGCCUCAUCCAGCUUCAUACUAGAUAUGGUCAGCUGGAGGGCAGACUGGUCAGAGUGAGAGAGAGAGCCAGAGGAAGGUGGCUGCCUACCUGGGGAUCCCCUGAGCCCCCUUGUCGGGCCGCUGAAGUUCCAGGCCCCCCAGCCUCCCCGGGUGUGGCAGGGACUGAGAGACGCCAAGGCUUACCCCCCUCUGUGUCUGCAGAACAUGAACCACACUAGACAGAUGG